rnacentral:rRNA from 1 species
GUAUAUGCCUAUAACAUAGCAUUAAUGCACUAGAUCUUGUUAGAACUCCACACUUAAGCGCGCUCAAGCUAGACUAGUACUGGGAUGGGUGACUGCUUGAGAAGUCUUAGUGUUUUAUAUG